rnacentral:rRNA from 1 species
GCCAGCAGCCGCGGUAAUACGAAGGGACCUAGCGUAGUUCGGAAUUACUGGGCUUAAAGAGUUCGUAGGUGGUUGAAAAAGUUAGUGGUGAAAUCCCAGAGCUUAACUCUGGAACUGCCAUUAAAACUUUUCAGCUAGAGUAUGAUAGAGGAAAGCAGAAUUUCUAGUGUAGAGGUGAAAUUCGUAGAUAUUAGAAAGAAUACCAAUUGCGAAGGCAGCUUUCUGGAUCAUUACUGACACUGAGGAACGAAAGCAUGGGUAGCGAAGAGGAUUAGAUACCCUCGUAGUCCAUGCCGUAAACGAUGUGUGUUAGACGUUGGAAAUUUAUUUUCAGUGUCGCAGGGAAACCGAUAAACACACCGCCUGGGGAGUACGACCGCAAGGUUAAAACUCAAAUGAAUUGACGGGGACCCACACAAGUAGUGGAGCAUGUGGUUUAAUUCGAAGAUACGCGCAGAACCUUACCAACACUUGACAUGUUCGUCGCGACUCUAAGAGAUUAGAGUUUUCGGUUCGGCCGGACGAAACACAGGUGCUGCAUGGCUGUCGUCAGCUCGUGUCGUGAGAUGUUGGGGUUAAGUCCCGCAACGAGCGCAACCCUCACUUUUAGUUGCCAUCAUUAAGUUGGGCACUCUGAAAGAACUGCCAGUGAUAAGCUGGAGAGGGUGGGGGAUGACGUCAAGUCCUCAUGGCCCUUACGUGUGGGCUACACACGUGCUACAAUGGUAUCUACACAGAGCAGACUGCGAGUUAAGCAAAUCCCUAAAAGAUACCUCAGUUCGGAUGCCCUCUGCAACUCGAG